UACGGAGGGUGCAAGCGUUAAUCGGAAUUACUGGGCGUAAAGCGUGCGCAGGCGGUUUGUUAAGUCUGCUGUGAAAUCCCCGAGCUCAACUUGGGAAUUGCAGUGGAUACUGGCAAGCUGGAGUACGGUAGAGGAAGGUGGAAUUCCCGGUGUAGCAGUGAAAUGCGUAGAGAUCGGGAGGAACACCAGUGGCGAAGGCGGCCUUCUGGACCAGUACUGACGCUGAGGAGCGAAAGCUAGGGGAGCAAACGGG
rnacentral:rRNA from 1 species